UUGGGCCACCUAUUUGCAACAGCACCUAAGUCUGGAUGAUAGAAGAAACGAAGAAAAAAGAAGCGGGGGACUGAGUCCCUAUCCUUCCAUGUUCUUCCCUAGAGGAAUUCUGCCACAACUGGGGUGUUGGUGCAGAGCGGAGAACUCUCGUCUAGAAUCCCAGCUUCCUGACCAAGAAGACCAGGUGUAACGCUGACCUCAGAGAAAGAUGGACGUUGAGCAGUUCUCACUGCACCUGCUGCACCCACGCACAUGUCCUUGAAUCCCAGCAAGGUGCCUGGCUUGGGCCCAACAUUCAGACUCUGGAUCCAGAGGAAGGAGCCCUAGGCUCAGUGGGUACCCCUGCUCCCAGUUUACACCCCGUAAAUACUUAUAACUUGC